GCCGAAGUGGCGGAAUGGUAGACGCGCUACGUUCAGGACGUAGUAUCCUUUGGAUGUGAGGGUUCAACUCCCUCCUUCGGCA
rnacentral:tRNA from 2 species